UGGGGAAUUUUGGACAAUGGGCGAAAGCCUGAUCCAGCAAUGCCGCGUGUGUGAAGAAGGCCUUCGGGUUGUAAAGCACUUUUGUCCGGAAAGAAAUCCUUGGCUCUAAUACAGUCGGGGGAUGACGGUACCGGAAGAAUAAGCACCGGCUAACUACGUGCUAGCAGCCGCGGUAAUACGUAGGGUGCAAGCGUUAAUCGGAAUUACUGGGCGUAAAGCGUGCGCAGGCGGUUUGCUAAGACCGAUGUGAAAUCCCCGGGCUCAACCUGGGAACUGCAUUGGUGACUGGCAGGGCUAGAGUAUGGCAGAGGGGGGUAGAAUUCCACGUGUAGCAGUGAAAUGCGUAGAGAUGUGGAGGAAUACCGAUGGCGAAGGCAGCCCCCUGGGCCAAUACUGACGCUCAUGCACGAAAAGCGUGGGGAGCAAAACAGGAUUAGAUACCCUGGUAGUCCACGCCCUAAAACGAUGUCAACUAGUUGUUGGGGAUUCAUUUCCUUAGUAACGUAGCUAACGCGUGAAGUUGACCGCCUGGGGAGUACGGUCGC
rnacentral:rRNA from 1 species